GAAAAGAGAUUUGAUUUCUGUGCCUAUUAACCACUCCAACAGAAGGUCGUGUGAAGAGUGAUGUUGAAGCUAUUAGUAGAAGUUAGAAAAAAAAUCUAUUUAUAAGACCAGCAGAAGAAGACCUGAACUUCAGAGGGGACCACAAAUGAAUGAAUUAAGAACACAGCUGUCUUUUCAAAAGCCAACACAAAAUGAGGAUGGGUUUUAUACAAAAGCAGCUAUUCCUGCCAAUGGGCAUAUGCAUGUCCUUCUUUCAUAUGUCACAAGCAGACCUCGGAAAUUCCCUGGGAAGUCCCCUCCACCCAGUGCCUGCAGUUUCUCCAUUUGACUAUGAUUCUGUUGGAUCUUGAGAGACUUUCUGAUCUUCAGGAAGCUCUUAUCACAAUACGGCUCUUCCUGGAGUGAGGAGACAACAUGGUACCUGGAAAGAUGAGGGGAGUGGACUGGGAAAUGGGAAUCUGUCCCAUUUCAGUUCUACCACUACCAGCCUAGUGGCUUUGGGAGGGGCCUGCAAUUUCCCUGGCCUCAAUGGUUUCAUCUGUAAAAUGGAACGGCAUGGAGACGAUGAAAGUGAAAGCAUCUGCCAUCAUGCCUGGAGGUGCUCAAGAAAUGAUUCCUUCCUGUCUGCCGACCUCAGUUUUCCAUCUUUAAGCCCUCUCUCUUAAGGAACGUGGAAUCUGUUUUCCUGAGGCUCCGUAUAAGCAUGAGGAUUUACAAUUUGAAACACCCCUUCUUACUGACAGAAGACCACUGUUCCACAUAAAUUCCAGACACAACAUCAGAGGCAAAAUUCUUCUCACCAUUUCUGCAAAUGGCCAGGAGAAGCUAUUCACAACUUCCAAACUCUGAGUCAAGACACCCAGGGACAAAUCACUGUGAGGGCUGAAAACAAGUUAUGGCAGAAGGUCCCACAUCACUGAAUCCUGAGCUGGAGGGACCUGGCAAAAGGGAGAAGAUACAAAGCAACUGGCUGAUUAAAAACUCUGAGAACUCUUCAGUCAUUUUGCAGAAGAUAUUGAUCAGCUAGAGAAUGUACAUCUCUGAACUGGGGAUUGACAUGGGUUCCAAUGAGCAUCCUGAACAGCCACCAACACUUCAAGCUCCAUUAGAUUCAUUAGUCAGAAGACCUAUUGGCAGAAUAGCUUGUGUUGUGGCCUGAAUCAGCUUCUCCUGCUUUGGACUCCAGUCAAAGGAAGAGCAACCUUAUGCAUUCCUCAGCAAGAGGGUCAGAGGAGGACAUCCAUAUGUGAUCCCUUCUGAGGUUGAUGGGACAGCAGCAUGAGGCUUGUUGUGCCGAUUUGGAAAUGGAAACCCAAGAGAGUUUGAGAAGCCCUGCCUGCCACAAGUCCUCUAUGUUCCCCCAUGAGACUGCAAGCAUCAUGAGGGCAG